ensembl:snRNA U6 U6 spliceosomal RNA
GCACUCACUUUGGCAGCACAUAUACUAAAAUGGGAACUAUACAGAGAAGAUCAGCAUGGCCUCUUCACCAGGAUGGCACACCAAUUCAUUAAGAGAGCUUUCUUUUU